rnacentral:misc_RNA from 1 species
CACAUGGGUACAAAUUUUCAUUUACCCGAAAAGGUUUGGUGCUCAACAUGUACGCGGAGUUGCUGCAGGAUCAAUAAGCAAAUUUAAUGGAAAUUUGGCACGAAUGUGGAUCAUCUUUUCAACGUAUUUACCCGUAAAUAGGCAGGUGCUUUACCGAGGAUAGCUUGAGGUAGCAACUUUGUGGUCGACGGGGUCUACAAGAGGGGGGAAAAUGAAGCUUUCGGACUCGGUGAUGCGAAGUUUUCGCGUGGCAAAAUUAUACAAGGAUCAAAACACCGAACGCAUAAACAGCAUUGACUUUUCGCACAAUGGAGAGACGAUGAUAUCGAGCAGUGAAGAUGAUUCCAUCGUCAUUUAUGACUGCUUGGAGGGAAAGCCAAAGAAAACACUCUACAGUAAGAAGUAUGGUGUGGAUAUGAUCCGGUUUACCCACGCAGUCAACACGGUCAUCUAUACCUCUAAUAAGAUGGAUGACAACAUCCGAUAUCUCUCCCUGCAUGACAAUAAGUACAUCCGGUAUUUCUCCGGCCACACCAAAAAAGUCGUCAGUUUAAGUAUGUCACCGAUUGAUGAUAGUUUCCUGUCGGGUUCAUUGGAUAAGACGGUCAGAUUGUGGGAUCUUAGGUCACCAAAUUGUCAGGGUCUAAUGCAUUUACAAGGGAGGCCUGUUGCUUCAUUUGACCCGGAGGGUCUCAUCUUUGCAUGUGGCGUCAACUCAGAGCUCAUCAAGCUUUACGACUUAAGAUCCUUUGACAAGGGUCCGUUUACAACCUUCAGACUACAGCAGGACCGCGACUGCGACUGGACGUCGCUCAAGUUCAGCGCCGACGGCAAGUUGAUCCUUAUAUCCACCAACGGCGCGGUCAUCCGGUUGGUGGAUGCGUUCAGCGGACAACCCAAGCAGACCUUCAUGGGUCAUCUCAAUCAGAAGGGUUUGUUAUUAGAGUCUUCGUUCAGUCCAGAUGCAAAGUAUGUCCUGUCAGGAUCGCAGGAUGGCAAAGUGCACGUGUGGAAUGCAGAGAACGGCACCAAGACGGCCGUCUUAGAAUCCAAGCAUUGUGAAUCACCCAUGCACUGCGUCCAAUUCAACCCCAAAUUCAUGAUGCUGGCCACGGCAGCACAACACAUGGCAUUCUGGUUACCAAGCAUAGAUGAAUGAAGACACCCGAGCCUGACCGAGACCCAGUAGUAGUCCAAGACAGAGCAAUUGCUGCAGUGUGCUGACUGACCGAAGUGUGUUGAAAAAAGCUGUGCCGUGGUCCUUGCUAUGUAGAGCCUGAAUGCUAUGGUGGUAGAGCUAUAAAGCAAUUGCAUGACACCUCGCGAUGUUGGACAAGACAAAGAAUGGUGUACAGACAAAGCAGAGUCAUAGAGUUAUACAGUUGACUCUCGUUAAUACAAACACUGUUAAUACCAAUUCUGGUUAUAACAAACAUAGACCCUUGGCCCCGGCUGUGCUUUAUGUGCACAACAAAUGGGACCGGCACUUCACUUAAUACAAAAUUCUGAUAUAACAAACAUUUUGGCUAGGUCUGACUGAGUUUGUAUUAAUGAGAGUCGACUGUAUUUAACCAAGAGAUUGCACUCGCUGUACGCACACGUGCCGACGUGGACGCGCAGCUGCCAUUCUUUAGGUGGACAAUUUUUGAAUUCUUUCCAAAUGUAGCUCUCUGUGCAUGCGUGCAUACGUACGUACGUACUUGUAUGCGGAGACUGAGUGCACACACAGAAUCACGAUGUUGCUCAGAUGAAGGCAAACAUUGAUGUCUAAUGAUCUUUAUUCUCAUCCAAAUAAAUAGUCAAUGAAUAUUGUUUAAAAAAAGCAGAUUGGAUUAACAAAACUGCCGGUGGUUUCUGCCACUGUUAACUGAAAGUGGGCACAUCCUGGUACUUUACAAUCGUGCCAUGUUCUGAUUAUUACUCUCUUGAGGUUUUUAUUCCCCUAAACAAUGGCGGCCGCACGUCCAUUUCGGCACGUGCGCGUAGUAUAGCGAGUGCGCUUUCUAGUUAAAAAAAAAAUAUAACUCUUGUGGUGAAACUAGACACGAAAACUGCAUUUAAGUACGAACCAACCCUUAGGUUAUGCGAGGCAUGUGUCAAGAAAUUCUGGAACCAAACAACCUGCCUUUGCAACGGAAAAGUUUUCUCUGUUGGGCAACUGUAACCCCAUCCAUGAACUGAACUGUAUUAAAUGAACCGGUUAAAAUUGCUUACUUCAGCUGAGGUGAUGUCCGAGUUGUCGUGUCCUCACUCUCAAGUCGGUCACAAGACAUCCAGUCUCAAGUCAAGUCACAAUCUGAGCUGCUGUAUUGAAAUAACUUGUUCAUUCUCGGUUCCUUCUUCCUGGACUUGACCACUACUCUUGGUGAUGUACACAUGGGUGAUGUACUCGUGCGUUGAUGUCGUUAGUAAGUCAGGCGUGAUGUAAAUAAUGUAAAGUGUAGUCUAGAGAUAACUAAAGUGAAACCGUUUUAGUAAGCACAGGAUGGCAGUAUGCACAAAAAAAGGAGGCCAUGCUCUGUUGAAUAUAAUGAGCUCGAUUGUGACACCCCAUGCCAAAUGCCUGCAUUCCCUCUAAUUUCUACGUAUGAAGUGUUCCAUUCUGAAAUGUUUCCAAGACUGUUUGUUGAUUGUAUGACUGUUUACAUACGCAAGACAAAUGGGUUACGAUGCCACUUUUUAUUGGUUUGUAUUUUUUUUAUUACUUAAAUUUUUGGGAUGGGGCAGGAAGUAUUUUGUAUCGGCAUGGGGUGUCGCCGUUUGUUUUUGUGACGUGAUGUAUUUUAGUGAUAGAAUGUGAUAUAUUAUCUGAGCAUCAGUGACAAAGUAACAGAAAUCAUCGAUAGAUAUCUCCCCCCCCCCCCCCCUUUUUACUAUCAAAAUGUAAAUUAUAUUAGAAUCAGAUAUUGAUUGGACAGGUAUUAUAGACCCGCAUGCAUUGGUAACAUUUCGUGUUUCGCUAUUAGUUCCAAUUGAAUAAUCACAGUGAAAAACAGGCUCCAUUCAAUUUCUGUUGUUGCCAUUACAAUUUUCUGGGAGAUUUUUUUUAAAAGAGCUUUUCAGCUUCCACACCAAAGCCCUAUUGUUGCAUCUCUGCCAUUCACAGGUAAAUUGCUUUCCCUUAAAGCUACAGUCCAUCAUUUGCAGCUAUCCAAAAAGUAACUGACGUAAUUAUUGUUGCAAAACAUACUUGGUUGCACUCCCUCUGAAAUUAGUCUUUCUGGCAAGCUGUCAUUUUAAAGAAUUCAAUGAAAGAAGGCCUUUCCAACUUUGUUUUUUUUUUAUUCGGCGAAGUUAGUUACAACGCACAUGUGUGCGCGCGGUUGUUAUAAUUCGUCAGUUCAGUGCGCGACAUUGCGUACCUGCAAUCGGCUCAGUGAGAACGUGUCUCGGACGCUGAAUUCAGGUCCAAUUAAAAACACGACUCGGCAACUUUCGAUUUGAAAUCGAGAUCCUAGAAUAUUGUUUUCUCAGAAUAUACAGCAUUAACUGAGCUGAAACUUCGUCAUGUUAGUUUUUAAGCACCCUUCUUUAGAUUUUGAGCAUUUUUGUUGCUUCAAACGAACAUAAUGCACAAAUUACAAAUGAUGGACUGUACCUUUAAUGGCGGGCGCGGACUUCCAGGGAUUGGCUUAUCUAGCCCCAAGAACUCAAUGGUUCUCGAGUCUGGAGUGCUGAAUGGUAACACAUAGCAACCGAUUAUAAACCCACAUGCUGAGGAAAAGAUGUUUUCAUCGGCUCGGCUGAUUAUGAAUAAUGCCGCCCACGCUUAUAUACAGAAGGUUAUUGGAAAAAGGACAUGGAUUUCUAUUUUUUAGUCUUUCGGUGCAAGUAACAAAAUAAUAUUAUCACUUUUUUUUUUUUCAUUGAAAUGCAAUCCAAUCCACAUUUUUUUACAUGUAAAUAAAUACACUGUCUCUUUUGUAUUUAGAAUGUCUUGUCUGGUGACUUUUGUAAAAUAAAGACAUUGAAACCUGAGAAGAGA